rnacentral:rRNA from 1 species
CGCUCGAGAUCGAGUCAGCCAGCGGCCUGCAGCGAUUCCCCACGCCCCCUCCCCAUACCCUCCACCUUAUCUCUUGAUGCCGCCGGAGGGAGCUUCUCCCCGUGCCCUCCAUCUCAUCUCUUACCACCGGCCGGAGGGAGCUCCGUCGCUCUCCUUCAGUACGCCGCUCUUCUUUCCCCAAGACGACGAAAAACACAAAACGGGGACAUACCAUAUGGCAAGGGGCUCCUCCAUCGCUGCUUGGGUUAUCGGUGGUGGUGUUGGCAUUGAAGGAUGGGGCGGCAAUGCCAUUGGAGUCUUGGAAAAGCAGCUCGGGCAGAGGAAGAGGACGCGCCCGGCGUCGGAGGAGGCUGGGCGGGAGACGAUUGUUCUGCUGCAGGUACGUGAACAUGGUGUCUAGGUUGACACGCUAGCCUCCUCUAGCAGCCUCUCUGCCCCGCGCCAGCUCUAGCCCCUCGCUUGCUGCCUCCUGCGACGCUGGUGUUCAGCUCGCAUGCGAGGUGUUCUAGCAAUUGACCAAACCGAGCCAAGCGUGAGCAUGAACGAUGGUCACAUACUUUCCUUCGUCAAGUAGUCCAGUACUGCACCAGAAGCGACGUCGGCCGAAACAGGAGAGGAAGAGGCCACAGAAGGAUUCUUGCGUCCCAAAUGUGAGUUUCAGGUUCACGGUCUGGAUGGUGGAUUCGUUCUUCAGCUCCGGCGAGGUCAUCAUGUGCCGGUACAUCUCACCUUCAAGCACAUGUUGCAGACUCCGACUGUUCUUUCUUUGCUGGAUGUUCGGCCCGCUGAUGCUGCAUGGAAGCAUUCGAAGUGAAAAAUAUCUUCACAUACUUUCCUGUAAGUGCAUCUCCCCGUCUUAAUUUGGGUUGCUCUCACUGUCCCGCUUACCUGUUCUGCUUCGCCCAUCAUUCAGAGUUAGGUUGGUUCAUGAGAUCAGAUAAUGUACUGCCAUUUAUUUUACCCAACUGCUACAUUCAAGAUCGAGGAGUACAAGUGUCUAUUGAUCUGAACACAAAGUGUUACAAUAGAUUAUCUCUGCAAGUGGAUAAGGUGGUCAUAUGUUAGCCUACACUUUUGGACCAAAACAGUUUUACAUGGGCUUCUCCGGAGGAAAAGGAAACCCCACUUGAACUUUUAGCUUCCCGUAUAUGUGAGAUCACUUGCUGAGUUUUCCCACAUCAUAGCUUUUCUUGUGAAUUCAUGGGAUCUUAGAUUUUAAUCAAGUCAUGCAGUUCUGAGUUUUAAUUCAUGUGCAAUAGUCACAAACAGAUCUGUCUUGCAUUCAAAAUAUUGCAGGCUUGAACUUAUUUACAUUUCAGUUAAAUUUUGUUCACCAAUGUCAGCCAAUGUGAGAGCAAAGUUUUCCUCCGAUUAUUCUAAAUUAUCCUUGGACUAUUCUGAAUCUGUAAAUGGAUGUUGAAUUCUUAAUACAUCUAUGCCAUCUAUAGAAAACAAUGGCCUCGCGUGCCACUGUGCAGUGAACACUGAACAAGUCUCGAAUCAAUAUGCAUUUGCGAUUUGUGGUUCUGUCCUGUUUUAGUAGGGUUGUCUUCAAUAAUCUUUUGGUAAUUUUGUAGAUUAGGAAGUUUAAUUCUUUUCCGAUAAUAGUUUAAUAGUAGUCAAGAUAUGCUACUGCAUGUCCAUUUUACUGUAUAUAUCUGUUUUUACACUUCUAUUAUAGGUCUGGGAGUAUUAUGCCGAGCCUCCCCAGCAAGGUUUUCAAUAUUAAGGGGGAAAUCUGAAGGUGUAUAAGGUAAAGAGACAGAGCUCUAGAUACAUUUGGUAAUAAAUUUUCUUUAUACCUUGCAUUAUAAUUACACAUGGGAAAUACAGAUGAGGUGCCUGAUGUCAGCUGCAAUCACAGAUCUAAGAAUCAGCUUUUUAAAUGUAAUUGAUAAAAUGAUCAAUGAUUAAAUGCGUGACCCACUACGGAGAGAAAGUGUAAGAACGACACACCUAGGAUUAACCCUGACUGUUAUCAAGUUCAGGUAUUUCCAUUACUGUAUAGAUUCAAGCAGUGUGUUGUAGUUACCAUGACACAUAUCUUCACGAGAGAAGUUUUUGUUAAGCAGUAGCUUAGGAUAGCUUUUCUUCAGUAUGGUUCAGAUCACCAUUAUUGCAUGAAAUAUAUAAGAACAUACUCAUUACCUGUGUAAAAUCUUACAACAGAGAAAUAAUGUUUAUGCAGACUGAACUUGUUAUUCUGCGAACUUACGUUGACACAAACUAUUGACUGGGUCUCUGGCUUGGCGCUACCUGUAUGAGGUACACCCUUAUGGUGUUGUAGGUACCAUUUUUAUUGGCCUGCUGGUACAUAUUCAGUUAAUCACACAGAGUUAUUGGAAUAUAGGCAAGACUGUAGUAUGUGUUCAUCUGGAAGCCUAUAGACAGAAAUAUGUGUUCAUCUGGAAGCCUAUAGACAGAAAUAUGUGUUCAUCUGGAAGCCCAUACUAAACAAUAUUUUAGUGAUCUUGGAUGCUAUCACCUACAUAGACUAUUUUCCCGUAGUAGUGUGCUUCCAGUUUGUUUGGUUCAUGGACGGUCAGAUGGUAUUUCACGUAGCUCUUCCAGUUUGUUGGUUCAUGGAUGGCCAGAUGGUAUCUCGCCUAGCUAACCUGCUUUCAAGUAUCAGUUUGCUAAACCGGCAAAUGCUUAUUUUCGCUAGCACUAUAUAAUACAUCAAUUGGUUUCAUAUUGUUGAAAUUUGAAUAUCUGCAAAUUAGAAGAAUUGUCUUUUUUAUAGGAUGCCUAUUUUGUGUUGCAAAUUAGAAAUCUUUUCUAAUGUGGUGCAAAAUUUUGUGCUGUUCUUAUGGCCCAUGGUCCUACGUAAAGUAUUCCAAUACAUUUCCACAAAUCAGUUUUUAUUUUUAUUUUUCACGUAACAUGUUCAUGUCCAAUCAGGGAUGGGUUCAAGUGGUUCUGGGACAUGUAUAGAGAAGGAGCUCAUUAUAUAUGGAGACAAGUUUUGAAUUGGGGCGUGUUGCUUCCUACCUGAUGGUGUAGACGUUAGAUGAGGGAUCUCCAUAUAAGUAGAAUAUCACACAUAUGGAUGUUGUAUCUUGGAUGAUUCAUAGAAAAGAAGCCAAAGAACGAUUCAUCAGUUGCAUAUCUUUUUUACCUUCUACAUGUUAUUUUUUU